rnacentral:tRNA from 2 species
GCGAGAGUGGCGGAAUUGGUAGACGCACUGGACUUAGAAUCCAGCGGCCUGGCCAUGCGGGUUCAAGUCCCGCCUCUCGCACCA